rnacentral:tmRNA from 1 species
ACUCACCGAACUCCUUGAAAAUCGGAUAUUUCGGCCCCAUAAUUCGCUCAUGGUUGUAAUUCCGGCAAUCUGGAGGCGUCUUGGACGCGGGUUCGAUUCCCGCCACCUCCACCUAAGAGCAUCGGAGUGUUCUUAGGUGGGGGUGCACUGGUCUCGACAGGGUGAACAAAGGAAAGCAGGCAACUCGUCAGGCGAUCGACGUUAAUGAAGCAAAUCUCUAAACGCCAACGAUGAGCGUUUCGCAAUCGCCGCUUAAGGCCUUUGCCGAGGCUGCUUUAGCCUUGUAACCAAAGAAAAGCCGGCGGGGACUUCGGUCCCCGUCGUCA